rnacentral:rRNA from 1 species
GGGAAUCUUCCACAAUGGACGCAAGUCUGAUGGAGCAACGCCGCGUGAGUGAAGAAGGUUUUCGGAUCGUAAAGCUCUGUUGUUGGUGAAGAAGGAUAGAGGCAGUAACUGGUCUUUAUUUGACGGUAAUCAACCAGAAAGUCACGGCUAACUACGUGCCAGCAGCCGCGGUAAUACGUAGGUGGCAAGCGUUGUCCGGAUUUAUUGGGCGUAAAGCGAGCGCAGGCGGAAUGAUAAGUCUGAUGUGAAAGCCCACGGCUCAACCGUGGAACUGCAUCGGAAACUGUCAUUCUUGAGUGCAGAAGAGGAGAGUGGAACUCCAUGUGUAGCGGUGGAAUGCGUAGAUAUAUGGAAGAACACCAGUGGCGAAGGCGGCUCUCUGGUCUGCAACUGACGCUGAAGCUCGAAAGCAUGGGUAGCGAACAGGAUUAGAUACCCUGGUAGUCCAUGCCGUAAACGAUGAGCGCUAGGUGUUGGGGAUUUUCCGGUUCUCAGUGCCGCAGCAAACGCAUUAAGCGCUCCGCCUGGGGAGUACGACCGCAAGGUUGAAAC